rnacentral:lncRNA from 1 species
CAUGGGAUCGAAGCUGUCUCGGGAAGGAGCGGCGGCCCGUUUCAGGGACGACAACAUAGUCCAGCGCGUGGGGAUACGCACGCCCGAGUCCGACGUUUCAAGGGCACUGACGGGGACGAAGAAGAAGCGGUCCCGCCAGUGAUGAGACCGGUCGACCAGCCCGUCGAAGAGGGCGCCGGUGGAUCGCUGAGCGACUAACACACGGCGGGGAUCGGUGGUCAUGGAGGUCAUCGUGAACAACGUCAGGAAGACCGGAAGAGAGACC